AUUAUUAAAAAGGAAGAGAAGACCCUUAGAAUUUUAAUGAUUUAUGUUUUUGCUGGGGCGGCAGAGAAAAGUAAACUUUCUUUUUUAUAAGCCGAUUAUAUUAAGGGUGAGUAAAUUACCUAAGGGAUAACAGCAUAAUUCAUUAAUUGAGUUUGUGACCUCGAUGUUGGACUAGGAAACUAACAGGCUAGCCGUUUGUUGAGUGGGUUCUGUUCGAACUUUAAUUCCU
rnacentral:rRNA from 1 species